CUACAGUCCAAGCAGCAGCCCAGGCCCAGGUGACCCCGCAGCCUCAAACCCCAGUUCAGCCCCCGUCUGUGGCUACCCCUCAGUCAUCACAGCAACAGCCGACGCCCGUGCACGCCCAGCCUCCUGGCACACCGCUUUCCCAGGCAGCAGCCAGCAUUGAUAACAGAGUCCCUACCCCCUCCUCGGUGGCCAGCGCAGAAACCAAUUCCCAGCAGCCGGGACCUGACGUACCUGUGCUGGAAAUGAAGACGGAGACCCAGACAGAGGACACUGAGCCCGAUCCUGGUGAAUCCAAAGGGGAGCCCAGGUCUGAGAUGAUGGAGGAGGAUUUGCAAGGAGCUUCCCAAGUUAAAGAAGAAACAGACACAGCAGAGCAGAAAUCAGAACCAAUGGAAGUGGAUGAAAAGAAACCUGAAGUGAAAGUAGAAGUUAAAGAGGAAGAAGAGAGUAGCACUAACGGCACAGCCUCUCAGUCAACAUCUCCUUCGCAACCACGCAAAAAAAGUAGGCCAUUUAUUCAUUACCUUAUUAAACCAUGCUGCUUUUCCACAGUGUUAGGAUUCCACGUGGAGGAUUAAAAGCUAGAGUAGAAACAUAAUUCUAUCUGCCCUUUUACCUUUCUUGCCUGCCAUUCUCCAGACUUUCCCCUGCAGAAACACUGAGGCUGAGCAGGACCCCUGCCCUGUGCCUGUGGGGCUCAUGGUAGGAGUGAGAGAUGAGCUGCAGCUCCGAGGGCACCCAGGCUGCAGAGCUGUCUUCUGAUGGUGCUGGCAGGGGCCGGGUUGAAAUGUGUCUGGGUCCUUGAGCAGGUUAAGGAGCUUGGCUUUACUCAUAAAAGUAUAAAGAACCAGUGAUGUAUGUGAGUAGGAGAAUAACCAAAAAAGCCAUAAUUUAAGGAAAAUGAUCAUUAUGAUAGCACAGG
rnacentral:sRNA from 1 species